UUUCGUUCUUGUUUUUGCUAAUUGUCGUGCAAAACCUCUAAAUCUAUGUACGCAAGUUGUCGUCAAACUGAAAUCCGUUCUAGAGAGAUCACCAUUACGUUGUGCGUCUUGAAUGUUUAUGGGUGCAGUAAGAGUAGAGCCAAGGAGCUGGUACGUGCACGAUGAAAAUCGAAAUAAUACGAUUCGCUUUCAGUGUUUUGGAGCAACUCGCGCGGUAUGGCUAUUUAACGGACAACCGAUAUCUCGCUUGAAUGCAACAGAAUCGAGAAUAGUUAGCAAGCAUAUGAUUCAAAUUACUACGUUUCGAUUCGAGUUUGCUGGAGUGUAUACAUGCAGAAACUCGUGGGCCGGAAAAGAAGAAGCUAACGCAACACUGCAAGUUCAGCCUGAGUUUGCUGAUCCUCGAUCUAUUGGAAAGAUUGUAGCCUCUGGUGGUCGUGUUGAGUUGAACUGUUCUAUUAGAGCACACGUUUAUCCUCCUGCUACGCUAGAAUGGAUGAAACGAGGCAUUAAUGCUGUAAUACGACUUGGUGUACAAGAACGGUACUCUGUGUCGCAAGCUAGACUGGAGGACUCUGGUGAAUACAUCUGCAUAGCCACAAACAAGUACGCUUGGGCGUUUGCAACAAAAUCAAUAUUCUUGAAAGUGUACGGUAAGUAACUUUAGUAAUAUAAUGAUCAAUUUGAAAAUCGUAUAAAUUGAGAGCAUGCAGUGGCGAAUUCAGAAAGAGAGGGAGCGCAGCAGCUCUGCAUGAAAGAGAGGGAGCACAGCAGCUCUGUAUGACUCUCGUCUAGGCUCUGGCUUCAGUAGAACCGAUCUCUAGAAGCAUUGAACGCUCCAACUGUAUUUUGUACUAUAUAUAACUAAAUCUUGUAAAAACUCUAUUUUAUCCUAUGAGCAUGACAAUGAAAAGUGACGUCAUAAAUCACAAUUCGUAAUCGCUACCAAUUUUUAAGAGAAUUAUGAAUUCGCCACUAGAGAUUUAGAAAUGCGUUUGCAGAACCGGGAUAUUGUCGCCUCGAACACGUUCAUAUAGAUAACGCAGGCACAAACGUAUCUGUGACGAUCGAGACGUUUGGCACACUACCUGCUAACUUCUCUGUCAUCUCUCCAUGGCGCAACAUACAGAGAAACGAAGCCGGACAGAUCGUUUUGUCUCGAUCUCUUUACGGUUUCAACGGAUCGACGUCUCAGGUGUUUGGUAAGCUAACUCAGUUGGUCACCAAUAGAAAAUGGGAUCAGACAUUGACAGAGAAAUGCAUGGCUAAUGUCGACUUAGGGACGGGGUCGACUAAACGUUGGAAAGUGUGUUUGCUGAUUUUCUACACACCAAACGGUUCACUUUGUAAAAUCAAAUACCAUGUUCAGGUCGGUUUGUUAUUAUUGCAGCUGGUUAGAGACAUGUUCAACUACUUUGAAUGUCACUUUACGUGGAAACUGCACUCAGUGUUUGUUAAAAGCAACCACAGUUGCUCGUCACUAAGGAUAGGAGCCACAGUGACGAGCAUUACAGAUUCACUCGCCUGCCAGAUUUUUUCUAGAUUUGAGUCUUGGCUUUCACGUUGGAAAUCCACGAAUGCAAUGGUUGAAAGAGUAAAUAUUCAACGCAGUCUUGAGCACUCAAGAGCAAAAACACAGUACUGUAAAGCACAAGCAUUAUCAAGUAUUGCCAAGUUCAACAAUUGUCACAGAGUCAUAUAUUGUUAUAAGAAAUCAAACGUGAAAGACAAAACUGUUUGUCAAUUACGAAAUAUGUCAUACAAGAAGAUCCACGAGGUCACUAAGCAGUCUACAAGAAAGAACUCCACUAAGAACUUAAGAUUCUACUGCAAUGUUGACGAUAGUAACUAAAUUAACUAAAAAUGGAAGAUAAUUAUGCGCGUGCGUGCAAAACACAUUAAAUGUAAUUACUGUACAAAGGGUUUGACUGCUAUAGUUAAAAUACCAUAUUUAAAUUUAAGUCUGUGUAAUACAAUUACUAAUUUAUUGUAGAUGUAGCUUAUGUAGUAAAUAGUGUUUCCAUAGCAACAUUAUCGUAAUGACGUCACAUAAUGUGACACAUGCACAGAUACGAUCUGCACGUACUGCUGAAUUUUAGGUCAUUGACAAGGCUAUAUCCAUUUAUGACGUAGCCUGUUUUAUUCUAAAUUUUUUAACGUUAUUUCAAGUAAUAAUGAUAGCAAGAAAGAGAUUUAAUUAAUUAGCAAAGGCUCGAGCAGUCUAGGGAGUAACUAAAAAUGUGAGUGAGUGAA